UAAAUAACAAAUUCUACAAGUAGUACAAGUCACCAGCCAGCCUGGCAAGAGAAUUGCUAACAACGUGGUGCUGAGGGAGAAUGGGGAUCGAAGCAAUUAGGGUGCUCAGAGCAACACGUCAGACUUUUGCCGGCGACACCAUUAUGCUCCGGGAAUCCGCCGCCGAAGCCCGGAAGAAAUUCGAGGAGGCGAACGAAGCCACCCGCUUCAUCUCAACCAUGAUCGUCCAGGCCAAGCUCAACGAUCGCGGAGGUUACGAAGUGAAGCCUGGAAAAGAGCAUGUUGGGGCAACACUGGAAAUUCCUUCUGAAGAGAUUCUCAAGACAUCCGCAUAAAAGAAGUGAACGGGGAAGCCAUUAUCAUGGAUUAGUACAAUGAUGGAUCUUUUGGUGAGAAUGUUCGAUUGUUCUUCAUUUUAUGCUUUCUUCUGAAGUCUAUCAAAGAAAAAAGAAUAUUGUUUUCUUUUUCGCUCACAUCAGCAGAUACCCUCAUGUAACACAUACUUGUCUUUGCUAUAUUAGUCAUUGAAUAACAACCCGAGUAGAACAGUGAGUUUAUGGCUUUGAGUGAUGUGUUUUGUGUUGUUUCCAUUAACUACAGACAGCAGUUUACAAUGCAUCGUACUUUACCUAGUUCCAUGCAUGAAAAGAAGUCGAGAACUUCAAGAUGGGUAGAAUAUUUUGUGUAUGAAAACAAUCACGUUUUUCAGAUUUUAUCAUUCGACUUUUGUUAUUGC